rnacentral:rRNA from 1 species
GCACAAGCGGUGGAGCAUGUGGUUAAUUCGACGCAACGCGAAGAACCUUACCAGGGCUUGACAUCCCCUGACCGCGUAUGAAAGUACGAAUUCACUUCGGGUGACAGGGAGACAGGUGGUGCAUGGUUGUCGUCAGCUCGUGUCGUGAGAUGUUGGGUUAAGUCCCGCAACGAGCGCAACCCCUACGUUUAGUUGCUAACGCGUGAAGGCGAGCACUCUAGACGAACUGCCGUUGACAAAACGGAGGAAGGUGGGAUGACGUCAAAUCAUCAUGCCCCUUAUGUUCUGGGCUACACACGUGCUACAAUGGCCGGUACAGACGGACGCAAAGCCGCGAGGUGGAGCAAAUCCUAAAAAGCCGGUCUCAGUUCGGAUUGCAGGCUGCAAUUCGCCUGCAUGAAGUCGGAAUCGCUAGUAAUCGCAGGCCAGCAUACUGCGGUGAAUACGUUCCCGGGCCUU